UGUAGCUCAGUGGUAGAGCGCUUGCCUAGUAUGUAUGAGACACUGGGUUCGAUUCUCAGCA
rnacentral:tRNA from 1 species